rnacentral:rRNA from 1 species
CAGCUUACACAUGCAAGUCGAGCGGAGCGAGGGUGCUUGCACCUUAGCUUAGCGGCGGACGGGUGAGUAAUGCUUAGGAAUCUGCCUAUUAGUGGGGGACAACAUUCCGAAAGGAAUGCUAAUACCGCAUACGCCCUACGGGGGAAAGCAGGGGAUCUUCGGACCUUGCGCUAAUAGAUGAGCCUAAGUCGGAUUAGCUAGUUGGCGGGGUAAAGGCCUACCAAGGCGACGAUCUGUAGCGGGUCUGAGAGGAUGAUCCGCCACACUGGGACUGAGACACGGCCCAGACUCCUACGGGAGGCAGCAGUGGGGAAUAUUGGACAAUGGGGGGAACCCUGAUCCAGCCAUGCCGCGUGUGUGAAGAAGGCCUUUUGGUUGUAAAGCACUUUAAGCGAGGAGGAGGCUACCGAGAUUAAUACUCUUGGAUAGUGGACGUUACUCGCAGAAUAAGCACCGGCUAACUCUGUGCCAGCAGCCGCGGUAAUACAGAGGGUGCGAGCGUUAAUCGGAUUUACUGGGCGUAAAGCGUGCGUAGGCGGCUGAUUAAGUCGGAUGUGAAAUCCCUGAGCUUAACUUAGGAAUUGCAUUCGAUACUGGUCAGCUAGAGUAUGGGAGAGGAUGGUAGAAUUCCAGGUGUAGCGGUGAAAUGCGUAGAGAUCUGGAGGAAUACCGAUGGCGAACGCAGCCAUCUGGCCUAAUACUGACGCUGAGGUACGAAAGCAUGGGGAGCAAACAGGAUUAGAUACCCUGGUAGUCCAUGCCGUAACGAUGUCUACUAGCCGUUGGGGCCUUUGAGCUUUAGUGCGCAGCUACGCGAUAGUAGACGCUGGGGAGUACGGUCGCAGACUA